GAGCAGUGCGGUGACCUCACAACAAACUAUUCUUUUGCCUCUUACUAAAGAAUACUAUGUGCUCGCCGCUCCAAGUGGCAUGCGGCUAUUUUUCUAGGGGUUCUCACGUAUGAGCAAC